GUUGUGCAAGAGACAUUGGAAUGGUAAAAAAUGGCUGCCGUUACCAUGGAAACAGAACAAAUGUGAAAAAAUCCAGUUUUUUGUUUUGGUGAACUGUUUGGAUAUGCUUUAACUCAGAAUCAUUAUAUUUUGAUACAAUGUAGGUGCCCACUAUAUACAGGUGUUGGAUGAUUUUGGCACUCAUUGGAACUACUAUGUUGCCAUGGAAACUACACCAAAAAUUUCAAAAAUAUCAAAAUGCUCCAAACUUCAUGAAACUUCACAGUAACGAUGAGCAACAUUGGAAGAUGUGGAAUUUGGCGUUGGAAUUUCCAAAAUAUCUGUUGUUACCAUGGAAACAAUGCAAAAAGGUCAAAACUUUGAAUUUUCACAGAACAUUCCAGAACAUCAAUGUUAAAUUUAUUCUAGAGACAUUAAAUGGUAUAUGAUUAUAUAUGAUUAUGGAGGGAAAAAAUUGCAGCGGGGGUUUGACUUUGGAAUAUUCAAAAUGGCCGCCGUUACCAUGGAAACAGCAAAAUUAUGAAAAAAAACUUCAAAAUGCUUUAAAUUUAAUGAAACUUAUAACAAAUGUUGCCUAGCUUAUGUAGACUUGACUUUUGAGUUUGGAAUUUUCAAAAUGGCCGCCGUUGCCAUGGAAACAGCAAAAAAUUUUCUAAAUGGCUGCCGCUGGCCUGGCAAUGGGGAAGGGUGCCAUCCGCUAUUGCUUGCAAUGGCAAAUCUAGUUAUGGCACCCUCAACGGAGUUGGGGUGACAUAUUGUUAUUCUACGUUUCUUUUUUUUCUUUUUAUUAUUAUUAUUUUUAUUCUUCCACACAUUUUGUCCAUACUAUUUCUCAGAAUUGGUCAAACCAAUGUUGAUGGAACUAUACCAUAAUAUGAACCGCCAUGUUAAGUUGUGCAAGAGACAUUGGAAUGGUAAAAAAUGGCUGCCGUUACCAUGGAAACAGAACAAAUGUGAAAAAAUCCAGUUUUUUGUUUUGGUGAACUGUUUGGAUAUGCUUUAACUCAGAAUCAUUAUAUUUUAAUACAAUGUAGGUGCCCACUAUAUACAGGUGUUGGAUGAUUUUGGCACUCAUUGGAACUACUAUGUUGCCAUGGAAACUACACCAAAAAUUUCAAAAAUAUCAAAAUGCUCCAAACUUAAUGAAACUUCACAGUAACGAUGAGCAACAUUGGAAGAUGUGGAAUUUGGCGUUGGAAUUUCCAAAAUAUCUGUUGUUACCAUGGAAACAAUGCAAAAAGGUCAAAACUUUGAAUUUUCACAGAACAUUCCAGAACAUCAAUGUUAAAUUUAUUCUAGAG
rnacentral:lncRNA from 1 species